rnacentral:rRNA from 1 species
GAUGAACGCUAGCGGGAGGCUUAACACAUGCAAGUCGAGGGGCAGCAUAGGGUAGCAAUACUCUGAUGGCGACCGGCAAACGGGUGAGUAACGCGUAUGCAACCUACCCUGUACAGGGGGAUAACCCGGAGAAAUUCGGACUAAUAUCCCGUAAUAAUAUCCGGAGGCAUCUUUGGAUAUUUAAAGUUCCGACGGUACGGGAUGGGCAUGCGUAACAUUAGCUGGUUGGUAAGGUAACGGCUUACCAAGGCUAUGAUGUUUAGGGGUCCUGAGAGGGUGGUCCCCCACACUGGUACUGAGACACGGACCAGACUCCUACGGGAGCAGCAGUGAGGAAUAUUGGUCAAUGGGCGCAAGCCUGAACCAGCCAUCCCGCGUGCAGGAAGACGGCCCUAUGGGUUGUAAACUGCUUUUCCAGGGAGAGAAACUUACGCACGUGUUGCGUGACUGACGGUACCCUGGGAAUAAGCAUCGGCUAACGUCCGUGCCAGCAGCCGCGGUAAUAGUGUGUGUACG